UACAGAGGUGGCAAGCGUUGUCCGGAAUCAUUGGGCGUAAAGCGCGCGUAGGCGGCCCUGUAAGUCCGUUGUGAAAGUCAAAGGCUCAACCUUUGAAAGCCGAUGGAUACUGCAGGGCUAGAGUCCGGAAGAGGCGAGUGGAAUUCCCGGUGUAGCGGUGAAAUGCGCAGAUAUCGGGAGGAACACCUAUGGCGAAGGCAGCUCGCUGGGACGUUACUGACGCUGAGACGCGAAAGCGUGGGGAGCAAACAGG
rnacentral:rRNA from 1 species